GUGGCAGACGGGUGAGUAACAUGUAGGUAUCUACCCUAUGGCCUGGAAUAACACGAGGAAACUUGUGCUAAUACUGGAUAAGUCUUUACGGAGAAAGCUUUAUGCACCAUUGGAUGAGCCUGCACUUGAUUAGUUUGUUGGUAGGGUAAUGGCCUACCAAGACUUUGAUCAAUAGCUGAUUUGAGAGGAUGAUCAGCCACAUUGGGACUGAGACACGGCCCAAACUCCUACGGGAGGCAGCAGUGGGGAAUCUUGCACAAUGGAGGAAACUCUGAUGCAGCGAUGCCGCGUGAGUGAAGAAGGCCUUUGGGUUGUAAAGCUCUUUCGUCGGGGAAGAAAAUGACUGUACCCGAAUAAGAAGGUCCGGCUAACUUCGUGCCAGCAGCCGCGGUAAUACGAAGGGACCUAGCGUAGUUCGGAAUUACUGGGCUUAAAGAGUUCGUAGGUGGUUGAAAAAGUUGGUGGUGAAAUCCCAGAGCUUAACUCUGGAACUGCCAUCAAAACUUUUCAGCUAGAGUUUGAUAGAGGAAAGCAGAAUUUCUAGUGUAGAGGUGAAAUUCGUAGAUAUUAGAAAGAAUACCAAUUGCGAAGGCAGCUUUCUGGAUCAAUACUGACACUGAGGAACGAAAGCAUGGGUAGCGAAGAGGAUU
rnacentral:rRNA from 1 species